UUAAGCGACUAAGCGUACACGGUGGAUGCCCUGGCAGUCAGAGGCGAUGAAGGACGUGCUAAUCUGCGAAAAGCGUCGGUAAGGUGAUAUGAACCGUUAUAACCGGCGAUGUCCGAAUGGGGAAACCCAGUGCAAUUCGUUGCACUAUCGUUAACUGAAUACAUAGGUUAACGAGGCGAACCGGGGGAACUGAAACAUCUAAGUACCCCGAGGAAAAGAAAUCAACCGAGAUUCCCCCAGUAGCGGCGAGCGAACGGGGAGCAGCCCAGAGUCUGAAUCAGCUUGUGUGUUAGUGGAACGGUCUGGAAAGUCCGACGGUACAGGGUGAUAGUCCCGUACACCAAAAUGCACAGGCUGUGAACUCGAAGAGUAGGGCGGGACACGUGGUAUCCUGUCUGAAUAUGGGGGGACCAUCCUCCAAGGCUAAAUACUCCUGACUGACCGAUAGUGAACCAGUACCGUGAGGGAAAGGCGAAAAGAACCCCGGCGAGGGGAGUGAAAAAGAACCUGAAACCGUGUACGUACAAGCAGUGGGAGCACCUUCGGGUGUGACUGCGUACCUUUUGUAUAAUGGGUCAGCGACUUAUAUUCUGUAGCAAGGUUAACCGUAUAGGGGAGCCGCAGGGAAACCGAGUCUUAACUGGGCGUUAAGUUGCAGGGUAUAGACCCGAAACCCGGUGAUCUAGCCAUGGGCAGGUUGAAGGUUGGGUAACACUAACUGGAGGACCGAACCGACUAAUGUUGAAAAAUUAGCGGAUGACUUGUGGCUGGGGGGGAAAGGCCAAUCAAACCGGGAGAUAGCUGGUUCUCCCCGAAAGCUAUUUAGGUAGCGCCUCGUGAACUCAUCUUCGGGGGUAGAGCACUGUUUCGGCUAGGGGGUCAUCCCGACUUACCAACCCGAUGCAAACUACGAAUACCGAAGAAUGUUAUCACGGGAGACACACGGCGGGUGCUAACGUCCGUCGUGAAGAGGGAAACAACCCAGACCGCCAGCUAAGGUCCCAAAGUCAUGGUUAAGUGGGAAACGAUGUGGGAAGGCACAGACAGCCAGGAUGUUGGCUUAGAAGCAGCCAUCAUUUAAAGAAAGCGUAAUAGCUCACUGGUCGAGUCGGCCUGCGCGGAAGAUGUAACGGGGCUAAACCAUGCACCGAAGCUGCGGCAGCGACACUAUGUGUUGUUGGGUAGGGGAGCGUUCUGUAAGCCUGCGAAGGUGACCUGUGAGGCAUGCUGGAGGUAUCAGAAGUGCGAAUGCUGACAUAAGUAACGAUAAAGCGGGUGAAAAGCCCGCUCGCCGGAAGACCAAGGGUUCCUGUCCAACGUUAAUCGGGGCAGGGUGAGUCGACCCCUAAGGCGAGGCCGAAAGGCGUAGUCGAUGGGAAACAGGUUAAUAUUCCUGUACUUGGUGUUACUGCGAAGGGGGGACGGAGAAGGCUAUGUUAGCCGGGCGACGGUUGUCCCGGUUUAAGCAUGUAGGCUGAUUAUCCAGGCAAAUCCGGAUAAUCAAGGCUGAGGUGUGAUGACGAGGCACUACGGUGCUGAAGUAACAAAUGCCCUGCUUCCAGGAAAAGCCUCUAAGCAUCAGGUAACAUCAAAUCGUACCCCAAACCGACACAGGUGGUCAGGUAGAGAAUACCAAGGCGCUUGAGAGAACUCGGGUGAAGGAACUAGGCAAAAUGGUGCCGUAACUUCGGGAGAAGGCACGCUGGUGUGUAGGUGAAGUCCCUGCGGAUGGAGCUGAGACCAGUCGAAGAUACCAGCUGGCUGCAACUGUUUAUUAAAAACACAGCACUGUGCAAACACGAAAGUGGACGUAUACGGUGUGACGCCUGCCCGGUGCCGGAAGGUUAAUUGAUGGGGUUAUCCGUAAGGAGAAGCUCUUGAUCGAAGCCCCGGUAAACGGCGGCCGUAACUAUAACGGUCCUAAGGUAGCGAAAUUCCUUGUCGGGUAAGUUCCGACCUGCACGAAUGGCGUAAUGAUGGCCAGGCUGUCUCCACCCGAGACUCAGUGAAAUUGAACUCGCUGUGAAGAUGCAGUGUACCCGCGGCAAGACGGAAAGACCCCGUGAACCUUUACUAUAGCUUGACACUGAACAUUGAGCCUUGAUGUGUAGGAUAGGUGGGAGGCUUUGAAGCGUGGACGCCAGUCUGCGUGGAGCCAACCUUGAAAUACCACCCUUUAAUGUUUGAUGUUCUAACGUUGGCCCCUGACCGGGGUUGCGGACAGUGUCUGGUGGGUAGUUUGACUGGGGCGGUCUCCUCCCAAAGCGUAACGGAGGAGCACGAAGGUUAGCUAAUCCUGGUCGGACAUCAGGAGGUUAGUGCAAUGGCAUAAGCUAGCUUGACUGCGAGCGUGACGGCGCGAGCAGGUGCGAAAGCAGGUCAUAGUGAUCCGGUGGUUCUGAAUGGAAGGGCCAUCGCUCAACGGAUAAAAGGUACUCCGGGGAUAACAGGCUGAUACCGCCCAAGAGUUCAUAUCGACGGCGGUGUUUGGCACCUCGAUGUCGGCUCAUCACAUCCUGGGGCUGAAGUAGGUCCCAAGGGUAUGGCUGUUCGCCAUUUAAAGUGGUACGCGAGCUGGGUUUAGAACGUCGUGAGACAGUUCGGUCCCUAUCUGCCGUGGGCGCUGGAGAAUUGAGGGGGGCUGCUCCUAGUACGAGAGGACCGGAGUGGACGCAUCACUGGUGUUCGGGUUGUCAUGCCAAUGGCACUGCCCGGUAGCUAAAUGCGGAAGAGAUAAGUGCUGAAAGCAUCUAAGCACGAAACUUGCCCCGAGAUGAGUUCUCCCUGAGACUUUAAGUCUCCUGAAGGAACGUUGAAGACGACGACGUUGAUAGGCCGGGUGUGUAAGCGCAGCGAUGCGUUGAGCUAACCGGUACUAAUGAACCGUGAGGCUUAACCUU
rnacentral:rRNA from 1 species